AACUUUAUAGUAUAGUAUAUAGUACGUCGGCCACUACGUCGAAGGCGUAGGUUCGAUUCCUAUUAAGGUUU